UACGUAGGGUGCGAGCGCUGUCCGGAAUUAUUGGGCGUAAAGAGCUCGUAGGCGGUCUGUCGCGUCGAUCGUGAAAACUUGGGGCUUAACCCUGAGCUUGCGGUCGAUACGGGCAUGACUGGAGUUCGGCAGGGGAGACUGGAAUUCCUGUGUAGCGGUGAAAUGCGCAGAUAUCAGGAGGAACACCGGUGGCGAAGGCGGGUCUCUGGGCCGAUACUGACGCUGAGGAGCGAAAGCGUGGGGAGCGAACAGG
rnacentral:rRNA from 1 species